rnacentral:tRNA from 1 species
GGAGAGGUGGCAGAGUGGUCGAAUGCACCAGUUUCGAAAACUGGCAGGCUCGCAAGGGUCUCGGGAGUUCGAAUCUCCCCCUCUCCG